GCUUAGGAAUCUGCCUAUUAGUGGGGGACAACAUUUCGAAAGGAAUGCUAAUACCGCAUACGUCCUACGGGAGAAAGCAGGGGAUCUUCGGACCUUGCGCUAAUAGAUGAGCCUAAGUCGGAUUAGCUAGUUGGUGGGGUAAAGGCCUACCAAGGCGACGAUCUGUAGCGGGUCUGAGAGGAUGAUCCGCCACACUGGGACUGAGACACCGCCCACACUCCUACGGGAGGCAGCAGUGGGGAAUAUUGGACAAUGGGCGCAAGCCUGAUCCAGCCAUGCCGCGUGUGUGAAGAAGGCCUUAUGGUUGUAAAGCACUUUAAGCGAGGAGGAGGCUACUUUAGUUAAUACCUAGAGAUAGUGGACGUUACUCGCAAAAUAAGCACCGGCUAACUCUGUGCCAGCAGCCGCGGUAAUACAGAGGGUGCAAGCGUUAAUCGGAUUUACUGGGCGUAAAGCGCGCGUAGGCGGCUAAUUAAGUCAAAUGUGAAAUCCCCGAGCUUAACUUGGGAAUUGCAUUCGAUACUGGUUAGCUAGAGUGUGGGAGAGGAUGGUAGAAUUCCAGGUGUAGCGGUGAAAUGCGUAGAGAUCUGGAGGAAUACCGAUGGCGAAGGCAGCCAUCUGGCCUAACACUGACGCUGAGGUGCGAAAGCAUGGGGAGCAAACAGGAUUAGAUACCCUGGUAGUCCAUGCCGUAAACGAUGUCUACUAGCCGUUGGGGCCUUUGAGGCUUUAGUGGCGCAGCUAACGCGAUAAGUAGACCGCCUGGGGAGUACGGUCGCAAGACUAAAACUCAAAUGAAUUGACGGGGG
rnacentral:rRNA from 1 species